UCAAACACUUCCGCCAACCCAGGGCUAAGCUUCAAAUAUGUGAGCCUAUGGGAGAUAUUUCUCCUUCAAACCACCACGCUUGCCACAGGCUGACAAUGGAGGAAGACCGUUUCCUCUGGUUUUGUCAUCUACAAUACACGAAAUCGUCUUUUGUUCCCUAUGGGAAAAAUGGUCUAAACCCAUGCAAAUAUCUUCAGAGGAUUUCAACAUGUCUUCAGACUGAGCAUUCCUACUGGUUGCUUCGUUUCUGUGAGCCCCUGCCCUGAGGAGCCUGGUACCACAGGAAGGGAAGCCAAGGAGAUCUCACUGGCAGGAGAGAGGAUGCUCUUCAGUAGUCAGCACCCCUUCCUACCUGAGGGGGGCGUUCUUUAAAGUCACAAAGAGACAUGAAACCUAAUUACUGAAAAGCAAAGGUGGAAGACAUCACUGCCAGCCAUGAGGCUGCCCUGCUGGAGAUGGAAAAUAACCACACCGUCGCCAUCACCAUCCUACAGGAUGACCACGACCACAAAGUCCAAGAACUGAUGUCUACCCAUGAAUUUGAGAAGAAGGAGCUGGAAGAAAACUUUGAAAAGCUGAGGCUGUCAUUGCAGGACCAGGUGGACACACUAACCUUUCAGAGCCAAUCUCUGCGGGACAGAGCCCAGCGCUUUGAGGAAGCUCUAAGGAAAACCACGGAGGAACAGCUGGAGAUCGCGCUGGCUCCGUAUCAGCAUCUGGAGGAAGACAUGCAGAGCCUGAAGCAGGUGCUGGAGAUGAAGAACCAGCAAAUUCACCUGCAGGAGAAGAAGAUUAUCGAGCUGGAGAAGCUGGUGGAAAAGAACAUCAUCCUGGAAGAAAAGAUCCAGGUACUCCAGCAGCAGAACGAAGACCUCAAAGCGAGGAUCGACCAGAACACGGUUGUUACCAGACAACUGUCGGAGGAAAAUGCUAAUCUCCAGGAAUACGUGGAGAAAGAGACCCAGGAAAAGA
rnacentral:lncRNA from 1 species